AUUGAACGCUGGCGGCAUGCCUUACACAUGCAAGUCGAACGGUAACAGGUCUUCGGAUGCUGACGAGUGGCGAACGGGUGAGUAAUACAUCGGAACGUGCCCGAGAGUGGGGGAUAACGAAGCGAAAGCUUUGCUAAUACCGCAUACGAUCUCAGGAUGAAAGCAGGGGACCGCAAGGCCUUGCGCUCACGGAGCGGCCGUUGGCAGAUUAGGUAGUUGGUGGGAUAAAAGCUUACCAGGCCGACGAUCUGUAGCUGGUCUGAGAGGACGACCAGCCACCCGGGGACUGAGACACGGCCCAGACUCCUACGGGAGGCAGCAGUGGGGAAUUUUGGAGAAAGGGCGCAAGCGUAAUCCAGCCAUGCCGCGUGCAGGAUGAAGGCCUUCGGGUUGUAAACUGCUUUUGUACGGAACGAAAAGGUUUGGCCUAAUAAGCUGAGCUCAUGACGGUACCGUAAGAAUAAGCACCGGCUAACUACGUGCCAGCCGCCGCGGUAAGAC
rnacentral:rRNA from 1 species